AGUUUCUAUACACAAAUCUGAGGGGAAAACCCAAGCAUCUAGAAUCUAGAUAAAUCUAGCUAUAUAGGAGAAUCAAGAUCUAAUAUUAUUAAUAUGGCUUCUAGGGGUGGAUGUCUUGUUGUUAUUAGCUCCGCUGCUGAAGGUGUUUUUGCAGCUUCAUUUAUGCAAGCAUGCACUCUGGUCAACCAGACCUUUGCUAUUCAAUUGGCAUCACCAGGGGGUAGGCAGGCAGAAUAUAUUAAUCAGGAUGAUUCUAAUAGGAGAUGGUUUAAUGAAUUUCGUUCUAAGUCAAGUUCAACACCGAUAGGACUUGAAACUGUUGAUGUAAAUCGGUAUUCAGCUCUUUUGAUUCCUGCAUGUCCUGGAGCCAUUCAUGAUUUGUGUGCCAAUGCUGAUCUAGCACAAAUAAUUACUCACUUUAUUCAAGAAAAAAAACCAGUGUGUGCUAUUGGACAUGGAGUUGCUGGCUUAUUCUCAGCCAGAAAGGAAGAUGGAAAAUCUUGGUGGUUGGAAGAUUUUUGUUUAACUGCACCUUCAUUAUUUGAAGUCGGCCAACUUCCAGACUUUGCAAUGUUGCCAGUUCUACCUGAAGAUUUUAUUAAAGAUCAUGGUGGCAAAUAUACAGCUACAGAACCUGAUGGAAUACAUGUUGUUAUAGACAGAUUUCUUAUUACUGGUCAAAAUGCAGAGUCAACUGUCACAGCUGUUCAAAAUUUGAUUCUGAUGUGUAGUCAGAAGUAGGUCAUUCUGACAUAUUAUCUUUCCUGCUUCAACCCAUGUAGGUUAAUUCCUCUUGCUUUGCUUAAAUGUUUACAGAAUGGCCUGGAAAACAGCAACUAAAGAAUUUAACAAUGAACAAAUAGUGUUAAAGCUUCAUCUCAAUCAGUAAAGCAUGUUAUUCACCAACAUUGUGAGCCCUUCAGUUGAGUUUGUAGAGUUUCCAAGUCUGUGCCAACAAUUCAAGUGUAGCAGAUUCCUUUCUUUUGUGUUGGGCUGGUUCUGUGUUUACUAGAAUUUUUUUUUUAUAUACAAAUGCUGGUGGAUGCCAUUUAAUACAUAAAAGAAAUUAAAUUAUUGUGAAUCAGAAAACUAAUUCUAGUGUUUAUUUGUAAAACCUAAGUUGCAUUGAAAUUAUUUGAAGCCAAUUUUUUAUGCACGUGCAUCCCAUUAAGAAAAAAAAAACAAGGUGACAAAGACAAUUUGUGUGGAAAAAAUCAAAAUCAGCCUGUGGAGUGGUAAAAAAACAGGUUUCAAUAUUUUCAGAAAGAAAAUCAGAAGCUAUGAACUACAAACUUUCAACAACUACAACCCUAUCUCUGUCGAUACAAAAAAAAAAAAGACAUAGGUGUGUCAAAAGUGUUGCUAAUACUGUUGUAUUGUUAGUUCGACUAAAGACUUGAUAACACAGGAUACAGAGAUUUAUUAAUAUUAUUAUUAUAUUGUAAAUAUUCCUAUGUAUUCAAUGAACUGAUAGUUAUGAAGAUAUAGUUCCAUGUGUACCUGGCUGAUGUUAUUGAAGGAUUAUCUAAAUGUUCUGUUUCAUUCAAAGCCUCAACAAGGAAACUUUUCCCUUUAGUCCAGUGUUACAUGGUGUGGGUGUGCAUUGUUCUUCAUAUAUAUGUUAUGAAACUACUUAUUAAUUGGUAUGUUAAAUUAUAUUCUAUUUAUAUGCAUACUGAAUAGAUUUUUUCUCUUUAAAAAAGCAGGAUUUAUUUAAAAUGUAAGUAGCCAUUAAUAAAGUACUUAAUUUAGCAAUA